GGAGAAGGGGAAAGACAGACAUAAAAGGCAGAGUAUGUGCACAGAACUGUAAGAUACAUGUCCCCACGACAGAAAUAAAGAAGGCAGAGAUUCACUGAGGGGGGAAUUCAUGGACAUUUAUGGUCACAUUAUUCUGAUUGGCUGAGGGGAUCAGCAGGCUUCUGGCCAGUUUUCUUUCCGUUCACGGAAAUAAAAGUUCAGUGUGUUUGAAAAUGAACUAAGUUUAUUCCCCCUUAUUUUUCUUGAUAGGAAGGAUUUAUUUAUGUAGUCAGAGAAGGCUUGUUUCUGCUAAGUGAAAAUUUGGCCCAGGGAGUAUAAUAAUAAGCUAAAUGGGAACUGGAUAAAAAUAUGUUUAUUAUGACAUUAUUUAAUUUGUUGAUAUCCCUACAUUCCCUACCUAAUACCAUGAAAGAGCUUCUCAAAUAGCAGUACAGUUGGUCAAAUUGUUAAAAGUGGGGUCAGCUUGUCUGUAUCUGUAUGAGCUGGAUCAAUGGCUAGUUUCUUUGAGCUGGUUACCUUGACAACCCAAGGCUCCUCUCCAGAUGUGCCAUCCACAGGAGUA
rnacentral:lncRNA from 1 species